AAAAUAAAAAAACAACAACAUUAUUUAUAGAAUUUAGUUCUGCAUCGAAUGAGAGAUUGUUCAUAUUUUUAUCACAAUUUUCAACAUUUUUAUUAGCAAAUUUACACAGGAUUCUCACAAAAAUUUCCGUUACUAUGUAACAUGGUAUUGGUUACCAUUCUACAUAGUAAUAAGUUCUAUUCUUUUCUCUCCGUGUAGAGGUUUGUAAUGUA